rnacentral:rRNA from 1 species
UACAGAGGGUGCGAGCGUUAAUCGGAAUUACUGGGCGUAAAGCGCGCGUAGGCGGUUUUGUAAGUCUGUCGUGAAAUCCCCGGGCUUAACCUGGGAAUUGCGAUGGAGACUGCAAGGCUAGAAUCUGGCAGAGGGGGGUAGAAUUCCACGUGUAGCAGUGAAAUGCGUAGAGAUGUGGAGGAACACCGAUGGCGAAGGCAGCCCCCUGGGUCAAGAUUGACGCUCAUGCACGAAAGCGUGGGGAGCAAACAGG